rnacentral:rRNA from 1 species
UUGAACGCUGGCGGCAUGCUUUACACAUGCAAGUCGAGCGGCAGCGCGGGGCAACCUGGCGGCGAGCGGCGAACGGGUGAGUAAUAUAUCGGAACGUACCCUGUCGUGGGGGAUAACACAUCGAAAGAUGUGCUAAUACCGCAUACGAUCUACGGAUGAAAGCAGGGGACCGCAAGGCCUUGCGCGGACGGAGCGGCCGAUGGCAGAUUAGGUAGUUGGUGGGAUAAAAGCUUACCAAGCCGACGAUCUGUAGCUGGUCUGAGAGGACGACCAGCCACACUGGGACUGAGACACGGCCCAGACUCCUACGGGAGGCAGCAGUGGGGAAUUUUGGACAAUGGGCGCAAGCCUGAUCCAGCCAUGCCGCGUGAGUGAAGAAGGCCUGCGGGUUGUAAAGCUCUUUCAGACGGAAAGAAAUCGGGCGCGUGAAUAGCGUGCCUGGAUGACGGUACUGUCAGAAGAAGCACCGGCUAACUACGU